UGCAGUCGAGCGGACAGAUGGGAGCUUGCUCCCUGAUGUUAGCGGCGGACGGGUGAGUAACACGUGGGUAACCUGCCUGUAAGACUGGGAUAACUCCGGGAAACCGGGGCUAAUACCGGAUGCUUGUUUGAACCGCAUGGUUCAAACAUAAAAGGUGGCUUCGGCUACCACUUACAGAUGGACCCGCGGCGCAUUAGCUAGUUGGUGAGGUAAUGGCUCACCAAGGCGACGAUGCGUAGCCGACCUGAGAGGGUGAUCGGCCACACUGGGACUGAGACACGGCCCAGACUCCUACGGGAGGCAGCAGUAGGGAAUCUUCCGCAAUGGACGAAAGUCUGACGGAGCAACGCCGCGUGAGUGAUGAAGGUUUUCGGAUCGUAAAGCUCUGUUGUUAGGGAAGAACAAGUACCGUUCGAAUAGGGCGGUACCUUGACGGUACCUAACCAGAAAGCCACGGCUAACUACGUGCCAGCAGCCGCGGUAAUACGUAGGUGGCAAGCGUUGUCCGGAAUUAUUGGGCGUAAAGGGCUCGCAGGCGGUUUCUUAAGUCUGAUGUGAAAGCCCCCGGCUCAACCGGGGAGGGUCAUUGGAAACUGGGGAACUUGAGUGCAGAAGAGGAGAGUGGAAUUCCACGUGUAGCGGUGAAAUGCGUAGAGAUGUGGAGGAACACCAGUGGCGAAGGCGACUCUCUGGUCUGUAACUGACGCUGAGGAGCGAAAGCGU
rnacentral:rRNA from 1 species